rnacentral:rRNA from 1 species
ACGAACGCUGGCGGCGUGCUUAACACAUGCAAGUCGAACGGUGAAGGGACCGGUUUUUGCUGGUUCUGGAUGAGUGGCGACCGGGUGAGUAACACGUGAGUAACCUGCCCCCUUCUUCUGGAUAACCGCAUGAAAGAGUGGCUAAUACGGGAUAUUCUGCGCCUGCUGCAUGGCGGGUGUGGGUAAGAUCUUGUUUCGGUGGGGGAGGGGCUCGCGGCCUAUCAGCUUGUUGGUGGGGUGAUGGCCUACCAAGGCGGUGCCGAGUAGCCGGCCUGAGAGGGUGGACGGUCACACUGGGACUGAGACGUGGCGCAGACUCCGACGGGAGGCAGCAGUGGGGAAUAGUGCACAAUGGGCGGAAGCCUGAUGCAGCAACGCCGCGUGAGAGAUGGAGGCCUUCGGGUUGUAAACCUCUUUCGCCAGUGAAGCAGGCCUGUUCCUUUUGUGGGUGGGUUGACGGUAGCUGGAUAAGAAGCGCCGGCUAACUACGUG